rnacentral:rRNA from 1 species
UGGGGAAUCAUGGUCAAUGGGCGAAAGCCUGAACCUGCGACGCCGCGUGAGUGAUGAAGGUCGUAAGAUCGUAAAACUCUUUUCAGGGAUCUUAAAGCCUGUCCGUCAACAACGGGCAGGUCUGACUCUCCCUGGAAGAAGCCCCAGCCAACUACGUGCCAGCAGCUGCGGUAAUACGUAGGGGGCGAGCGUUAUUCGGAAUUACUGGGUGUAAAGGGAGUGUAGGCGGGAAUGUAAGUCGGUUGUGAAAUUCCGAAGCUCAACUUCGGAGCUGCAAUCGAAACUACAUUUCUCAGAGGAAUGGCGGAGAGAAUGGAAUUCCAUAUGUAGCGGUGAAAUGCGUAGAUAUAUGGAAGAACACCUGUGGCGAAAGCGGUUCUCUAGCCUCCUCCUGACGCUGAGGCACGAAAGCAAGGGGAGCAAACA